rnacentral:rRNA from 1 species
AUUGAACGCUGGCGGCAGGCCUAACACAUGCAAGUCGAGCGGAGCGGCGGACGGGCGAGUAAUGCCUAGGAAUCUGCCUGGUAGUGGGGGAUAACGUCCGGAAACGGGCGCUAAUACCGCUUACUAUCAGAUGAGCCUAGGUCGGAGUAGCUGGUGGGUGGGGUGAAGGCCUACCAAGGCGACGAUCCGUAACUGGUCUGAGAGGAUGAUCAGUCACACUGGAACGGAGACACGGUCCAGACUCAUACGAGAGGCGGCGGUGGGGAAUAUUGGACAAUGGGAGAGAGCCUGGUCCAGCCAUGCCGCGUGUGUGAAGAGAGUAUUCGGAUUGUAAAGCACUUUUAGUUGGAAGGCGUUACCAACAGAAUAAGCACCGGCUAACUUCGUGCCAGCAGCCGCGGUAAUAC